GACGAACGCUGGCGGCGUGCCUAACACAUGCAAGUCGAACGGAACUGUUUUGAAAGAUUUCUUCGGAAUGAAUUUGAUUUAGUUUAGUGGCUGACGGGUGAGUAACGCGUGAGUAACCUGCCUUCAAGAGGGGAAUAACAUUCUGAAAAGAAUGCUAAUACCGCAUGACAUAUCGGAACCACAUGGUUUUGUUAUCAAAGAUUUUAUCGCGUGAAGAUGGACUCGCGUCCGAUUUGUUAGUUGGUGAGGUAACGGCCCACCAAGACCGAGAUCGGUAGCCGGGCGGGGGGGUAGGACCGCCACAUGGGGAACUAGACCCGGGCCAGACUCCUAAGGGAGGGAGGAGGGGGGGAUAUUGCGCAAUGGGGGCCAACCUGACGCAGCAACGCCGCGUGAAGGAUGAAGGUUUUCGGAUUGUAAACUUCUUUUAUUAAGGAAGAAAAAUGACGGUACUUAAUGAAUAAGCUCCGGCUAACUACGUG
rnacentral:rRNA from 1 species